ACCCUGGCCGGCCGUGCUUAAACAACAGCCAAGUCGAACCGGGAAAAGGCCUGCAGCUUCUCGGGUACUCGAGUGGCGAACGGGUGAGUAACACGUGGGUGAUCUGCCCUUGCACUUCGGGAUAAGCUUGGAAACUGGGUCUAAUACCGGAUAGGACACUGUUUAGUGUCAAUUUGGAAAGUUUUUUCGGUGCAAGAUGAGCUCCGGCCUAUCAGCUUUUGUGGGGUAAUGGCCUACCAAGGCGUCGACGGGUAGCCGGCCUGAGAGGGCGUACGGCCACAUUGGGACUGAGAUACGGCCCAGACUCCUACGGGAGGCAGCAGUGGGGAAUAUUGCACAAUGGGCGGAAGCCUGAUGCAGCGACGCCGCGUGGGGGAUGAAGGCCUUCGGGUUGUAAACUCCUUUCGACAGGGACGAAGCGUAAGUGACGGUACCUGUAUAAGAAGCACCGGCUAACUACGUGCCAGCAGCCGCGGUAAUACGUAGGAUGCGAGCGUUGUCCGGAAUUACUGGGCGUAAAGAGCUCGUAGGUGGUUUGUCGCGUCGUCUGUGAAAUUCCGGGGCUUAACUCCGGGCGUGCAGGCGAUACGGGCUGACUUGAGUGCUGUAGGGGAGACUGGAAUUCCUGGUGUAGCGGUGAAAUGCGCAGAUAUCAGGAGGAACACCGAUGACGAAGGCAGGUCUCUGGGCUAGUAACUGACGCUGAGGAGCUGAAAGCUAUGGGUAGCGAACUAGGAUUAGAUACCCUGGUAGUCCAUGCCGUAAACGGUGGGCGCUAGGUGUAGGGGGCUUCCACGUCUUCUGUGCCGUAGCUAACGCUAUUAAGCGCCCCGCCUGGGGAGUACGCCGCAAGGCUA
rnacentral:rRNA from 1 species